rnacentral:rRNA from 1 species
UUAGUUGGUGGAGUGAUUUGUCUGGUUAAUUCCGUUAACGAACGAGACCUUAACCUACUAAAUAGUCACGCGAUUCUCGAAUCGUGGACGACUUCUUAGAGGGACUAUCGGCGUUUAGCCGAUGGAAGUUUGAGGCAAUAACAGGUCU